rnacentral:misc_RNA from 1 species
CUUGUGAAAUUUCAGCCAUGCCAACAUUCCAUAUUUACAAGGAUGGAGCAAAGGUCGGGGAAGUUGUUGGAGCAAAUGAAAAGGCAAUUCGGGACGAGAUUCAAAAAAAUCAAUAAUCUAACUUAGAAUUUACAUGUUAAUAAUUGUAGACUAACAUUAAGUAAUGUCUCUCCCUUUAUGUGUUUAAUCAAAUAUCUGCUGCCUCUGCCAUUUACUAGUAGACUGUGAUAAUUGGAAAUUCAGGUAGACCAAUCUUGACUUUAGAAAUAUGUGUAAGUGGGUUGUACCAGUUUUAAAAUUGAUUACCAUUAUGGUUACGUUCUGUGUAAAAUGAAUCAUGAAAUGAAAAGAAAAAAAAAACUAUGUCUUAGAAUUAAUGUCAAUGAGGCAAAGUUGUUGUAUUUUAUAAACAGCUCUGAGUUUUAUCAAACUCAAAAAAAUUGUCUGAAUUAGAAUUUUGAGAAAAAAAUUGUUCAAGAAAUAUCUUUAGAAUGGUGAUGGUUGUUGUAAUCAAAUUUGCUUCCACCAAAUACAGUAUUGCACUAUGUGGCCUUUUUCAUUCUGAUAUGCAUUAAAACUCUGGACAAUCAC